rnacentral:misc_RNA from 1 species
CUUCCUUUCUGUCACUGCUCCAAGGAAUUGGACGAUAUUCGGAUGCCGCAGCUUCACUAACAAAUUAACCUCAUGCCUAAAAUCUUGGGUCACCAAUCUAUCAUCUGAUAGAGAUGGAAGAAUACGCUUGACUGCAACAGGCGUUCCACGCCAACAAGCUCUCAAAAUCUCACCAAAUGAACCCUUUCCGAUUACAGUCGAGGUUGAGAAAUCCAACUCGG